GGCCCCGUAGCUCAAUUGGCAGAGCAAGCGACUCUUAAUCGUUAGGUUAGGCGUUCGAUCCGCCUCGGGGUCACCA
rnacentral:tRNA from 1 species